UACAGAGGGUGCGAGCGUUUGUUCGGAAUUAUUGGGCGUAAAGGGCGCGUAGGCGGUGCGGUAAGUCACCUGUGAAAUCUCCUGGCUCAACUGGGAGCUUGCAGGCGAAACUGCCGUGCUGGAGUGCGGGAGAGGUGCGUGGAAUUCCUGGUGUAGCGGUGAAAUGCGUAGAUAUUAGGAGGAACACCUGUGGCGAAAGCGGCGCACUGGACCACAACUGACGCUGAGGCGCGAAAGCUAGGGGGAGCAAACAGG
rnacentral:rRNA from 1 species